GUUUAUUUUUCACAGAGGCCAGUGGUGUAUUUAGCCCAUGGCAAACUAGGCAUUUGCCCUGGGUGGCACUAACCAGGGGGCGACAAAACAUGCCGCCCCUAAACGCCCACUCGGGCGUCUCCUUUGCUCCUCCCACCAUAUGGACCCCCCGGUGUGCGGCUGUAUUGGAAUCCGAGACAGCGAGGGAGCUCUGAUCUCCUUGCCCUGCU